rnacentral:rRNA from 1 species
UGCAAGUCGAGCGAACUGAUUAGAAGCUUGCUUCUAUGACGUUAGCGGCGGACGGGUGAGUAACACGUGGGCAACCUGCCUGUAAGACUGGGAUAACUUCGGGAAACCGAAGCUAAUACCGGAUAGGAUCUUCUCCUUCAUGGGAGAUGAUUGAAAGAUGGUUUCGGCUAUCACUUACAGAUGGGCCCGCGGUGCAUUAGCUAGUUGGUGAGGUAACGGCUCACCAAGGCAACGAUGCAUAGCCGACCUGAGAGGGUGAUCGGCCACACUGGGACUGAGACACGGCCCAGACUCCUACGGGAGGCAGCAGUAGGGAAUCUUCCGCAAUGGACGAAAGUCUGACGGAGCAACGCCGCGUGAGUGAUGAAGGCUUUCGGGUCGUAAAACUCUGUUGUUAGGGAAGAACAAGUACAAGAGUAACUGCUUGUACCUUGAC